UGCCGCCACCUUCUCCCCGCGGGGGAGAAGGGGAGUGCCGCGACGUCUCCGAUCCCCUUCUCCCCCGCGGGGAGAAGGUGACCCGC
rnacentral:miRNA from 1 species